rnacentral:lncRNA from 1 species
AGAAACCUCACUCUGCUUGUGGUAGCAAUCUCAAGUUUAAACACAUGUAUUUGAAUCUAAAAAAGUAAAUAUAUGUAAGAGCCUAGAAAGAAGAUGGACAGAGCAGGUGGGCAUCAAAAUGAUGGCAAAAUGUGGGAAACUGCCACUACAACUGACUGCUCCAACUGGCAAAAGCACCGUGUAAGCCACAGGCUGUGGAUCUUAGGGAAACUUCUUCCAAGAAUUGACACUUACAACAAUGCUAGGUUUAAGUCUUGAGGAACUGAGUUUCCCCUAAUCCUGGACUCAAACCCCGGGGAUGUGUAGGGGCACAAACUGUCUGGAUGCAGCUCAACUGCAUCUCCCAGAAGAGUCCUUCCCACCCUGGCAGAACAUCGGAAUCACCUGGGGAAUGUUUAUUAUUAUGAGUCUCCUUUUUAAGGUAAAGAAGCCCAAGCCCCACUCCAGACUUACUAAAUUAGAUCCCAGGGAGGGGCCAGAAAAUCUGACAAUUCCAUGGUUGCCAGGUGAUUCUGAUAAGGUGCCAGGUAUAAAAACCUUUCCUAUACAAAAGUCGGGUUUUUGUAUCAAGUGAGCCAAGUCCGGAGAGUUUUGUCGCAUGCAAGGAACACAAAGCUCACCUAAUCUUGGGUUUCCUCAGAAGGUUGGUCGAAAGGUCCUCUCCGGGUCCCCAGAUGCCCGUGAAUUCUCCAUUUGGUGAACUUUAUACUGAGGGGUCAUCUUGGUUGCCAUUCGUUUGCCUGUCUUAUCCCUUGACUCCAAGCUAAUGCACUGAAAACAGACAUUUGCUGAGUGCCAACCGUGUGUAGGGCACUGCCCCGAUCGAUACCAGGCUGCCCGGAGACGAGCAUAUGGGGGUGAUCUCCAUCACAGCCACAUCUUUCUGGGACGAGAUUUCUUCCUCCGACAAGAUUCUCCCUCCAAAUUGGCUUCUCCACUCUAAGCUCAAAGAUUCCCUGUGGUACCCACUCUAUCUCUCCUGCUCUAGUUGGCUCCUUAUGGCUGGUGACUGUUUUGCCGCUGCUGAAGAAUCCAGACCAAGUCUUGGGCCCAGGAAUCCAUUGCUCAACUUCAUUAGCAACAGGAAGACAUUAAGUGAAAGUAAAGACUGGAACAGCCCAGAACCAUGUGACAGGCAGCCUUUAAGUCCUGGGCUCUGGUAUAUUUUAUGCCACCUCAACUGUGCAUCAAGCUCCACUUCCUGGACUCAUUAG